UUCAGUUUGAAAAAGAACAUGGCUUUUUAAUAACAAUUGAAAAUACUUUGUUGUACAACCAACAGAAAUUCUCCUUAUUGAUAUGGGUAAGGAUUUGCAAUAGUGAUAGUUUAAUCAUAUUGAGGAUUGUUUUUAUUAAAGAGUUGUCAAGUUUCAUUUUUGCCUGUGAGCUAAAAAUAAAUCAACCACUCCCAAAAGGAUAAGUCUCAUGUUUGACACAGCACUUUCAUUUAAUUACUGAAGAGUAAAACAACAAAAUUAUAAACACAUUCAGGAACUGUAGGUACAAAGUUUCUUUUCAUCUCAAAAAGCUUUCAGCACUCACCUGGAAAAAAGAGAAUACAGUAAAUAAGAAAUUAUGAAUCACAAAAUUACUUAGGUUAUGUAUUCUUUCUGGUUUAAUUUAAAACUGUGGUUUUUCUUGUGCCAAACAAUAUGCUGAUAAACAGAAUCGGAUUUAGGGUAAACCUAUCCACAGCAUUGGGCAAUAAGUAAUAAUAGUGUUGUGGAAAUGAGAUAUUAACAUAAUUUUUAGCUAGUAAAAUGUAUAUUUACUCAUUUAACUAUAAUCAGCAUUAUCCAACUCUUAUGUGAUUAAUUAAGAUGGCCGCUAGGGAGCUUCCCCUCUAACAUCGACUAACUACCUCGUGUAACAAAAUGGCGCUGGAAUCUGGGGGAGACCCUCAUGAUACCAGUGACAUCACCCCUUGUAGGCAGAGCAUUAAAAUAACCACUUAACACCUAACCAAUUAAUGAUGUAAUAUUUCAUGUUAUCUCUGACAAUGCAUAUGAUGUAAUUCUGCUUUAAAAAGGGACUUGCCGUCCCCUCUGAAUAAACAUUCUUCAAGUUUUUCAUUAACCUGAAACUUGUGUCUGGUGAGUUACUUCAGGGAGUGUGCAUGCACUGUUUCUUUAAUUUGGCCAGGGGCAGAUACACAAAAUAAUCAAUUGAUUGAAUUGAUUUCCACUUCAAAUAGUAAUAAAAAAAAGUUCAGUAAUCAAAUGCAAUGCAGGCGCUACAAGGGUAAGGGGGAAAGGAAAAAGACAGGAAACUGCUUUCUAAAACCUACAAAAAAAAAAAAAAAAAAAGGCAAAACAAAGCGAUUUAAAGUGAACCAGUCAUAAUAGAUUCACUUUAACUGAAACCCAACCAAAUGCAUUGACUAUAGAAAAUAUAUAUAUUAUAUAUAUAUUUUGUAAAAUGUAGAGAACUACUUACAAUGGUCACCUUUGGUGGAGCCAGUAACACUCACCUGUGUCACCGUAAAAGGAUUGCCGAGCAACUAAUUGACAGGUGGGUGAAAGUCCUAUUAUUAAAUAGUAUUUUUCUCCCAAUCAAUACAUUUACAGGCAAUUCCACUAACAAAUUUUAUUGAUGGAAUUUAAUACGGUUUUAAAAUAAAGUUGUGCGUACUUGUUAUGGUACACAACAACGCAUUGGGGAGCACACUAUUCCUAGCAAGUCCUUUGAGAAAGGAAUCUGUGGAUGUUGAAUUGCAGUCAUAAGAUUCGAGAUGUGUGUUUUGACCAUUAGUAGGCUUAGUAAUGCUGAUGCCAAUAAUUGA